rnacentral:rRNA from 1 species
AACGAACGCUGGCGGCAUGCCUAACACAUGCAAGUCGAACGAUGCCUUCGGGCAUAGUGGCGCACGGGUGCGUAACGCGUGGGAAUCUGCCCUUGGCUUCGGAAUAACAGUUAGAAAUGACUGCUAAUACCGGAUGAUGUCCCCCUGAGAGAUCUUGGGGACCAAAGAUUUAUCGGCCAGGGAUGAGCCCGCGUAGGAUUAGGUAGUUGGUGGGGUAAAGGCCUACCAAGCCGACGAUCCUUAGCUGGUCUGAGAGGAUGAUCAGCAACACUGGGACUGAGACACGGCCCAGACUCCUACGGGAGGCAGCAGUGGGGAAUAGUGGACAAUGGGGGGAACCCUGAUCCAGCAAUGCCGCGUGAGUGAUGAAGGCCUUAGGGUUGUAAAGCUCUUUUAACAGGGAUGAUAAUGACAGUACCUGGAGAAUAAGCUCCGGCUAACUCCGUG